rnacentral:lncRNA from 1 species
UGACACAAGGAUAAACCUUAUCUCUCUCUUAAAUUGGACUCUCCUGUCAGCUUAUUCCCCUUCAUUCCGCACAGAAAAAGAGUGUGAAAGAGAGCUGAAAAGUGGGUGAAUCUCGGUUCAUUGGUUUGUAGGUGUUCAGGUUUUUCUCCAGUCUCCCUAAUUCCGUGUUUAUUUUCCUCAAUCUUGUUAAAUUCUUGCUAAUUUAUUUAUGGUUUGAUGCUUGUGUCGCUCAAUGUUACAUUUUCCUUGUUCAUUUUUUGGUUCUUCAUUGAUAAUGAAACCUCAUUUGUUCUUGAAAAAAAAGAGAAAUUUUAACGAAAACCUCAUAUAUUGCGCCU